GCAGAUAUUGUGUGUUGCGCUGCGGUUCUUUGCAAAUGGAAGUUUUUAUAUGAUGUCAGAGAUGCAGAGUAAGACAACUGUAUGGAGGACAGUCAGAAAAGUUUUCCUGAUCCUGAAACGGCUUUUACUCAUCAUUGUGGUUUUCCUGGACAUAAACCUGUCAGAACAUCAAGGAGGAGUUCCACAGGAUUGCAGGUGAAUGAUGUAGAGAUCUGUUAAAUUCAUUUUAAAUCAUAUUCUGUUCAUGACAUUGUGCUGCAGCCUCAGACUGGGAUCAGUCAUUUUAAUUUCUUUUAGGAUUUCCCAGUGUGAUUGGCUGCAUAGAUGCACACACAUCCCCAUCACAGCUCCCUCACAUCAUGAACAGGAAGUCCAUUCACAGCAUAAAUGUGCAGGUAGGCUACAGGUAGACUGACUACUGUUUCUAAAUGUUAAAGACUGCAUCAUAGUUCAACAUCUGUCAUUCUCUGCACUGUCCAGAUCAUAUGUGAUGCUGCAUACAUCAUUUCUAAUGUGGAGGCCACGUGGUCUGGGUCUGUUCAUGACUCCAGGAUUUAUGGAGAGUCUAACCUGAGCAACAGACUGCAGCGUGGAGAGUUUGAUGGCCUUCUGCUGGGUGACAGGGGUUACCAUGACAACCCAGGCUGAUGACCUCAUACCCUGACCCUGAACCAGGCCCCCAACAGAACUUCAACCGGACUCACUGCAGGACCAGAGCCCGGGUGGAGAUGACCAUAGGCCUGCUGAAAGCCCGUUUCCAGAGCCUACGUCUCCUCAGGGUGACCCCUGAGAGGGCCUGUGAUAUUACUGUGGCAUGUGUUGUUCUUCAUAAUAUUACCACUAUUAGAGGAGAGCAACACCCUACCCUACAAACUGAAGACCCAGAUGAUGAGCCCAUCCACCUGCAGCUAUCCAGGACAGCAGAGCAGUCAGAGACACCGUAUGCAAUAAUCACUUUAGAGUUUAAGUCUCCAUCAUCACCACCACAGCAAAUAAAGACAUGAUACACAUUU